AAAAAUACUGCUUUCCAGUUUUCAAGGAGGGAUUGCAACCUCAGCAAAAUCCUUCCUGGAGAGAUACUCUUUUGCUCCAUCCUCUUCCAUCUGCCUUUCAAUUUCCUCUGUGUAUCUGCUGCUCCUAUCAAAGAGCAGGAAAGGGCAUAACAAGCUUCACUUGUGGUGGAGACAGCUGUACUGGGAGAAAAAUGAAGAAGAACUGGCAUGAACAUUGCUCCUUUUCUCUCUCCAAAUAUACCCUUGCUGGGAUGUUAAAAGGUGACUGCUCCAGUCAAAGCRCCAGGAUUGUGUGAGACCAGAAGGAAAAAUGAAUUCCAGAAUGAGGAAUCUCCACUGACUGUGCCCUUUCCCAGCCUCUAGACAUUCAAAGCUAGAUACUGUAACCAGGAGCUUUACAGAUGAUUUUGACAGCUAAGCAAAAAGACUGAUAGACUCUGUCAGGUAACUAGGCCAGAUGAGCCACAUUCUCUGGAGAGUAAGGGAUUUGUUUUCACAGCGCAAUACUGCCUCAUGGAGAUGAUCAUUUACGCUGACUUUGCUGCAUUGAUACAGUUUUCCUAAGGAGUUGUACGACCAUGUAGCAAGUUGCUUUUUCACUGACACUACCUACACUCCGCAUACCACACCUUCAUUUGCACUUCUUGGCAACUCCUGCAUGGCAGCAUGUAGAUCCCUAUGCUGGCCUGGCAUAGCAGAUGGGACUCCUUGGCAUAUGCUCAAGAGUAGAAGCCAGGUUUUGUAAUAUUUUGCUGCGCAUUUUCAUGUGCUAGUAACAGGAGUAUAUAGUGCCUACUCCUGAGGUACAGCAUCACUCCUACUCACAUGCCAAGCCUUUUCUGAACACGCACAGCCAGCUGUGCAGCUGAGACAGUCAUUUUUCUCUGAUAUCUACAAAUACGGACUAGAGUAAAACUGUCAAACCUCCUUUCAGAUUCUGUGAAUAAAGAAGGAUCUGACCCCA
rnacentral:lncRNA from 1 species